rnacentral:rRNA from 1 species
CCUGGCCUUGACAUACUAAGAACUUUCCAGAGAUGGAUUGGUGCCUUCGGGAACUUAGAUACAGGUGCUGCAUGGCUGUCGUCAGCUCGUGUCGUGAGAUGUUGGGUUAACGUCCGCAACGAGCGCAACCCUUUUCCUUAUUUGCCAGCGGGUAAUGCCGGGAACUUUUAAGGAUACUGCCAGUGACAAACUGGAGGAAGGCGGGGACGACGUCAAGUCAUCAUGGCCCUUACGGCCAGGGCUACACACGUGCUACAAUGGUCGGUACAAAGGGUUGCUACCUCGCGAGAGGAUGCUAAUCUCAAAAAGCCGAUCGUAGUCCGGAUCGCAGUCUGCAACUCGACUGCGUGAAGUCGGAAUCGCUAGUAAUCGCGGAUCAGAAUGCCGCGGUGAAUACGUUCCCGGGCCUUGUACACACCGCCCGUCACACCAUGGGAGUUUGUUGCACCAGAAGUAGGUAGUCUAACCGCAAGGAGGACGCUUACCACGGUGUGGCCGAUGACUGGGGUGAAGUCGUAACAAGGUAAGCGUAGAUGA